rnacentral:lncRNA from 1 species
ACUGUGAAAAAAUCCUUCUCUCACCCUACAGAUACCUGUACGGAGAACUUGGGAGGCAUUUUUAUAAGCUCAUUGUCAAGUGAAUGUUAAAGUCCCCAUUCACUGAGAAGCAAAGGGUGAAGAAGUGAGACCCUACAUGGCUUUUUAGUGCAUUGAUGGAGCAGAGACACGUCUAUGAACAACUGCCUAUGCAAACUGAUUACUCGGCAGUAUAAUUUAUCAGUUUGUAUGAGUAAGUGAGUGCUUCUCACUAUGGAUUUAGCUUGCACUUCAAUUUAGAACUAGAAGGAAUAAGUGGAAAUCAGGAGAAGCAUUAAAGACAUUCCGGUGUCACCGAGCAUACCGAAACCUGGAAACAUGUUCCAUUAUCUUGCUUUGGAUUUAUGGAAAUUCUGAACAGUGAUGUGAGAGUGACUACAGUUUGAAGUAUCUGUUAAAUACAGCAACAUGACAUCACAAGGAUUGUUUUGGAGUCUUCUGGAUAUGAGAACAUUAUAAAAGGUGAAAAAGUAGAACUGAAAUAUGAAGGGAGAAAAAGAGACAACUAUGGUUUCAAGUCUCACUUAGAGAAGAAGGAUUGUUUAUUUAUUUGAUGGAAAUUGGGUCAAUUGAAGACUCUGACACAGAGAAUAACAGUACCAGA